GGAUUAGAUACCCUGGUAGUCCACGCCUUAAACGAUGGGCACUAAGUGUCGGCGGGUUACCGCCGGUGCCGCAGCUAACGCAGUAAGUGCCCCGCCUGGGGAGUACGGUCGCAAGAUUGAAACUCAAAGGAAUUGACGGGGGCCCGCACAAGCGGUGGAGCAUGUGGUUCAAUUCGACGCAACGCGAAGAACCUUACCCAGGCUGGACAUGCAAGUAGUAAGAACCUGAAAAGGGGAUGAGCCAGCAAUGGCAGCUUGCUCAGGUGCUGCAUGGCUGUCGUCAGCUCGUGCCG
rnacentral:rRNA from 1 species